GAUGAACGCUGGCGGCGUGCUUAACACAUGCAAGUCGAACGGACAGACGCUGAUCUUGUGGGGUGGUCGAGAGGCGAACGGGUGAGUAACACGUGGGUAACAUGUCCUUGAAUUUGGGAUAAAUUCAGGAAACUGGGGCUAAUAUCGGAUAGGAGAUCCUGCUGCAUGGUGGGGGAUGGAAAGAUACGGCGGUUGUGGCUGGACUAGAGGCUUAUGAGCUUGUUGGUGAGGUAGGGGCUGACAAGGGUUGUGACGGAUAGGCGGCGUUAGCGCUGGACCGGCGUCAUGGGGCCUGAGGUACGGCGCAGACGCCUACGGGACGCAGCAGGCGGGAAUAUGACACAAUGGGCGGAAGCCUGAGGCAGCGACGCUCGGUGCGUAAUGACGUCUUAUGGGGUAUAAACCGCUUUCGCCGUUGACAUGGCCUGAUUGACGGUAACGAGUAAGGAAGCACCGGCUAACUACGUG
rnacentral:rRNA from 1 species